GACGAACGCUGGCGGCAUGCUUAACACAUGCAAGUCGAACGCUGAAGCUCAGCUUUUGUUGGGUGGAUGAGUGGCGAAAGGGUGAGUAACACGUGAGUAACCUGCCCCCUUCUUUGGGAUAACGCCCGGAAACGGGUGCUAAUACUGGAUAUUCACUGGUCUUCGCAUGGGGGUUGGUGGAAAGGGUUUUUCUGGUGGGGGAUGGGCUCGCGGCCUAUCAGCUUGUUGGUGGGGUGAUGGCCUACCAAGGCUUUGACGGGUAGCCGGCCUGAGAGGGUGACCGGUCACAUUGGGACGGAGAUACGGCCCAGACGCCUACGGGAGGCAGCAGUGGGGAAUAUUGCACAAUGGGCGCAAGCCUGAUGCAGCGACGCCGCGUGAGGGAUGGAGGCCUUCGGGUUGUGAACCUCUUUCGCUCAUGGUCAAGCCGCAACAAUGGUUGUGGUGAGGGUAGUGGGUAAAGAAGCGCCGGCUAACUACGUG
rnacentral:rRNA from 1 species